rnacentral:rRNA from 1 species
AUUCCUACGGGAGGCAGCAGUGAGGAAUAUUGCGCAANGNNNGAAACCCUGACGCAGCGACGCCGCGUGGGUGAGGAAGGCUUUCGGGUCGUAAAGCCCUGUCAGGUGGGAAGAAAUGUUUACAGGCUAAUACCUUGUAUUCUUGACGGUACCACCAAAGGAAGCACCGGCUAACUCCGUGCCAGCAGCCGCGGUAAUACGGAGGGUGCAAACGUUGUUCGGAAUCACUGGGCGUAAAGGGCGCGCAGGCGGUUUGAUUAGUCAGAUGUGAAAGCCCACGGCUUAACCGUGGAAGUGCAUUUGAAACUGUCAGACUUGAGUACCAGAGGGGGUAGUGGAAUUCCCGGUGUAGAGGUGAAAUUCGUAGAUAUCGGGAGGAAUACCGGUGGCGAAGGCGACUACCUGGCUGGAUACUGACGCUGAGGCGCGAAAGCGUGGGGAGCAAACAGGAUUAGAUACCCUGGUAGUCCACGCUGUAAACGAUGUGAACUAGAUGUGGGGGGUGUUGAUCCCCUCUGUGUCGCAGCUAACGCAUUAAGUUCACCGCCUGGGGAGUACGGUCGCAAGAUUAAAACUCAAAGGAAUUGACGGA